CGUGGCAUUGACGGUUAACGGGGGAUUAGGGUUCGAUUCCGGAGAGGGAGCCUGAGAAACGGCUACCACAUCUAAGGAAGGCAGCAGGCGCGCAAAUUACCCAAUUCUAACAGCAUAAGAGAGGUAGUGACAAGAAAUAACAAUACAAGGCAGUUAAAAUGCUUUGUAAUUGGAAUGAUAGAAAUUUAAACACUUUUUAAAGUAUCAAUUGGAGGGCAAGUCUGGUGCCAGCAGCCGCGGUAAUUCCAGCUCCAAUAGCGUAUAUGAAAAUUGUUGCAGUUAAAAAGCUCGUAUUUGAAUUUCUGCUAAAAAAAACCGGUCUGCUUUUAAUAAAAGUGGUAUCUUGGUGUGUUUUUAGCAAUAAUGUCUUUUGGAAUGUUUUAUUACUUUAUUGUAAUAAAUCAUAUUCAGGGUUUUUACUUUGAGAAAAUUAGAGUGUUUCUAGCAGGCUAACGCUUUGAAUACUGCAGCAUAAAAUAAUAAAAUAGGAUUUUAGUUCUACAUUAUUGGUUUUAAGAGCUAAAUUAAUAAUUAAUAGGGACAGU
rnacentral:rRNA from 1 species